CUAAUCCGUUGGAGGUCCUCGAUGAGAAGCAUAGAACAACGAUCUUUGCUUUAGUCAAGCUUUGGUUUCACGUGAUUACGAGCUGCUACUGUCAACUACCCAGUGGAAGCUAGCUCGAGGAGCUGUCCCCCGUAUGCAUGCAUUUCAACAGACUUGCAGGCAUUUGAAGUGUGCUGGGAUGAGACGGGAGACGUCUCAAUUCACAGCCUUAUUAUUUUUCAAUCUACGUGCUUGCUCUCGUCUUCUCCCAACGGC
rnacentral:lncRNA from 1 species